UGCGGCGAACCGCAAGUUUCUUUUGCCGUUACGAAGUGUUAAUGCGCAGAUCAUCAGCUGUCUGCUUGAAUUAGCCAUUUUCUGCUUGCUCCAUAUGCUCGAUCCUGGUGAGCACAGAGAAAAAUGAUCUGUCUUGAGAUGCGAUGUAGUUUACGUUUCCCUAUCACUGAUCCACAGGUGUGUCAUCCCCUUCACAGCUCUGUGGAACAGCCCACCUUGAGUUCACCCCUGCUGGACUGGAGAGGCACUGCGGCCCCCUGUUUCCCUCCACAGGCCUCUUCAUCUGUACAGGAAGCUGGCGGUGGGCAGAUCAUCAUAUCAUGUUUGUGCUCCCAGCGGUGACUGCAGCCUCUCUUCAUCCCUUCACAGAGCUUUGCAGGGGAAACAGGCAGAAAAGGGUCAGAGCGAGAGAUUUACAGUCACCAAAAUCUGACUAAGACAAUCCAGAGGUUGUUCUGAAACAUGUUCUCAUUCUGUGUGAGAUCAGACCGUGGCACACAUGAGCAUCCCAGUCUGUUACCACCAUCUGCUGGUGACACACAGGACAGCGGACACAGAUUCAGCUCAGAACAGGUACAGUGACAGCAACACUACGUUUUCUAGGAUUUAUGUCCCAUAUCAGAGAAAUGAAAAUAUAUUGACCUAUAUGGCUGAAGAUGAUUGAAAAUAGAGGAUUUGGUCUAGUUUAGUGUCUGCUGCAUAACACAUUGCUGUGUGUGUAAUAUGAGUGCAUUUAAAAUUUAUUUUUUUUUUUUUUGUAUGUUAUAGUAUUGAGUAUGUUUGCAUGUACAGUAUUUCAUAUAUACAGUAUCUCAGUAUCAUGUAGCAGACCAUUCAACCAGUGGAAUAAAAAUCGCAGAGUUGCACUGAGGGAUGUACUAGAGAUCUAGUAACUAGAUCUGGACCAGAAAGAAACCAUGUAGUCAUGCACAAAAACACCAUAGCCCUUGCAUUAUGGCGGCAAGUUUCACACAGAUUGUCUUCAGAAAAUGUAAAAUUCUACAAUCAAAGUUGUAAAUCAAACGUAUUA